UACGUAGGGGGCUAGCGUUGUCCGGAUUUAUUGGGCGUAAAGCGCGUGUAGGCGGCCAGAUAGGUCUGCUGUGAAAACUCGAGGCUCAACCUCGAGCUGUCGGCGGAAACCAUCCGGCUAGAGUCCGGAAGAGGAGAGUGGAAUUCCCGGUGUAGCGGUGAAAUGCGCAGAUAUCAGGAAGAACACCCGUGGCUAAGGCGGCUCUCUAGUACGGUACUGACGCUGAGACGCGAAAGCGUGGGGAGCGAACAGG
rnacentral:rRNA from 1 species